GGUAUCAUCUUUGAAUUUUCCAUGAAUGUGGCAAGUGUUCUACACUUCUACUUGCAUUGUUGUAUCCUGUAUGGUUAAUGUUGUAAUUGAUGAAAUUAUAAUAUGGUUAAUGUUGUAAUUGAUAUCACGAAGAUUGCGUUUUAUUGAUUUGGUUGUAAUUGAUGAAAUUAUAAUAUGGAGUAUUAUUGGGAAGAUAAUGCUUAUAGAAGUAGAACAUAUGCUUCAUUUGUUAUAUUGAGGAUAAGUUGACUCUUUAUUGAUAAUAUGUUAAUAGUGUUUGGAAUAUUGUGGAGAUGUAUUGGAACUCCAUUUUCGGAAGCUUCACUUUAUAUUUUUACUGCAGUUGCAAUAUUGUGGAGAUCUAUUGGAACCCCAUUUCUGAAUUGUUUAUUUGAUCCCAAUAUUGAGGCUGAAGGCGCAUCAAAACUCUCGUUAAAAACCUAUUUGUCGGACUAAUCUCAGUGUUGCAAUGACUACAAACAAUACCACUCCCUUUUAGAGUGAGACAUAACAUGAUCCACUGCAGUUUUACUCUUCCCUUUACUUGGGUUAAUUUACAUACUUGUAUACAAGUCUACGGUCUAUUAGUUUGAGUCAUAGACUUUCAUGGGGGAUGUGUAUGGCUGGUAAAACCGACCAUACAAUUUACAUGUAUUUUAACAAUUCUGUACUCCGCUCUGUAGUAGUCUGCAGUUGAGAACAGUUGUACAUUCUGAUUCUUUAGGUGAUCCCUUGGUUUAUUUUGUGUACCUUGUUCAUACACAUUUACUCAAUGAACAAAAUAGCAAUAGUGUUCCUGAAAAAUGUACUUUCUGCCCACUUUCACAAAUUUACUUUAUUCAAUGUUGAUACUCUGGUCUAGCAAAGUUGUCCUGUUAUAUACUCCUAGUGCAGUAGAGAGUAUAAGAUGUUUUUGUUUUAUAGAGAGUAGUCCGUAGUUGCUAAAGGUAGAGUUAGUAAAUGGGUGGUUCAGUUGGUUCGAGUCAAUCAUAGGUGCUUAUGGUUGGGAUGUUCUGUAUUCUGUAAUCUGGGAUUAAGUUGGGGAGAUUCGAAUAUCGGCAUAUCUAAGCUAAUGAGAUCUACUUGUACUAUUAUUAGUAGAAGCAGAUGAUGGAGAUAAGCCGUGGACAUAGUGGUCCGUACCUUAUUAAAUCACUGUCAAUUUAUCUACUGUAUGUCGUAAUCUUGGACCAUGAUGUCAAUCAAGCUCUUUCUGAAAGAGAUGGACCUUAUAUUCUCAUCCAUUCAAAUUGAAUAUACGGAAUACUACUACCAUCAUUGUCAUUAUUUGUUGACCUCAAAUACGCCCGUAUUUUCUACUCCUUUUUUGUAGCGUGUUCUAUUCACCUGUGUUUCAUAUUCUUUGAUGUUCAUGUUAUUUUAUGAUCAAGUUUGCAGUAGUUUCAUAUUCUUUGAAUGACUAGUAUAGUAUAUGUUCUUGUGAUUAGAUAGCAUGGAUAAUGAUAGGAGUUGGAUGCAUAUACAAGGGUUGAGCAAUCGGCUACAACCAACUUAUCGAAAUGGUGUUCAAAAUUUUCUCGAUUUUUCUUUAAAAGACACAAUCCCUAAUACCGGGGCUAAGAAAAGGUGUCCUUGUUUGAAGUGUCGAAAUUACAUCGACCAUAAUCGAGAGACAAUGCGGGCUCAUCUUUUGCGAGUAGGAAUGGAGCCUGACUAUAAUCCGUGGAUAUUCCAUGGAGAAGAACAACUUGACAUGGGAAACAUGGAAAUGUUCGAGGAGGAAGGUGAUUUGUUUGAUGAUCAAGAUCCUCUCGUAUCCGAGGAGAUGGCUGCUUUGGUGCAUGAUGCCACAAAUGUAGUGCCCGAGAAUUUGAAUGAUAGAGAUGAAGAGGGUAAAGACCAUCCUGAAAUUCCUGAUAAGUUUUAUAGGUUAAUGAAAGAUGCAGAAGAAGAAUUAUUCUCGGGUUGUAAAACCUUUUCAAGGUUGGAGUUCAUCGUAACUCUCUUACAUCUCAAGGUUAGUGGACAUUGGCAUGAUAAGUCCUUUACUUUGCUGCUUAGUGCGUUACAUAAGGCCUUCAAUUAUGAUCCUAAAUUUCCAAAGAGCUCCAGUGAAGCCCAGAAGUACACAAAAGAUCUUGGGUUGAAUUAUGUGAAGAUCCAUGCUUGUGUAAAUCAUUGCAUUCUUUAUAGAAAGGAGUAUGAAAAUGCCGAUUCAUGCCCUACUUGUGAGGAGUCCAGAUGGAAAGAAGGUAGUGGUGAAUUUGAUGAUAGUGUCACAUUUUCGGAAUCUCAAGGGACCUCACAACGGAUUCCUAGAAUACCUCGUCUAGUUCUUCGUCAUUUUCCUUUAGUUCCUAGGCUUCAAAGGCUUUUUAUGUCUUCAAAAAUUGCUAAGCACAUGAGAUGGCAUAAGGAUAGGAAGCGAGUUGAUAAGGACGUAUUAAGGCAUCCAUCUGAUUCAAAGGCAUGGGAGAAGCUCGAUGAUUCAUUUCCUGAUUUUGCAGCAGAUCCACGUAAUGUGAGAUUAGGUCUUUCAACUGAUGGUUUCAAUCCUGGUGCACAUUUAGGCACUAAGUACAGUAUAUGGCCAGUCUUUUUAGUGCCAUAUAAUCUCCCACCAUGGAUGUGUAUGACAAGUCCUUACAUCAUGCUAUCACUCUUAAUUCCUGGUCCAAAGUCCCCCGGAAAUGAUAUAGAUGUGUUCUUGGAGCCGUUGAUCGAUGAACUUCAAGAGUUAUGGGAAGUUGGGGUGAAAACUUAUGAUUCACAUAGUCGCCAAAAUUUUAAUAUGAAGGCAGCGCUAUUGUGGACAAUGAGUGAUUUUCCUGCUUACGGGAAUCUGUCUGGUUGGAGUACUUGUGGUAAACUUGCUUGCCCAACAUGUCAUAAGCAUACUUGGCACAAGCGGUUAAAGCAUGGAUCGAAAGAAUGCUUUAAAGGUACUCGUAUGUUCUUGGAACCCGAUCAUAGGUGGAGAAAUGACAAGAAAUCUUUUGAUGGGGAAAAGGAGAGACGACCACCUCCUAUUCCUUUGUCAGGGGAUGAGAUAUUAGAGGCAUUUGAUGGUGUCCCCAAUGUGAUUUUUGGGAAGAAGCGAAAGAGAACCGAUCGAUACUUGUUUGACCAAUGGAAGAAGUUGAGCAUCUUCUUUAGACUUCCUUAUUGGAGUAAGCUUUUGAUAAGACACAACUUAGAUGUCAUGCAUAUUGAAAAGAACAUGUGUGACAGUAUAUUAGGAACAAUACUUGAUAUUCCUAAUAAGACAAAAGACACCUUGAAAGCUCGAAAGGAUUUGAAGGAGAUGAAUGUGCAUCAUAAUUUAAUUCCUAUUAAGAUAGGUGAUAAAUAUGCCAUCCCUAGAGCACCAUAUCAGUUGACAUCUAUAGAGAGGCGUAAAGUAUUGGAGUUCUUGUCCAAGGUUAAAGUGCCAGAUGGUUACUCUUCUAACAUAGCUCGAUGUGCAAGUAUGGAAGAUGGAAAAAUCUCAAACAUGAAAAGUCAUGAUUGUCAUGUGUUCUUGCAAGAUUUGCUUAAACCGGCAUUUCAAGGUAUCUUACCUAAGGAGGUGCUAGAACCUUUGGUUGAGCUUAGCUUAUUUUUUAAGCAAUUGUGUUCUAAAACUCUAAAAAUUGAUGUGUUGGAGAAGAUGGAAAAGAGUAUUGCAAUUACUCUUUGCAAGCUUGAAAAGGUAUUUGUUCCGGCUUUCUUUGAUAUUAUGGUCCACCUUCCAAUCCACUUGGCCAAUGAGGCCAAGAUAGCUGGCCCCGUGCAGUAUCGUUGGCAAUAUCGGUUUGAAAGGUAACAAGUUAUUCCUUUUAUAUUAAUAUGUGAAGUUAUUUUUUUAUUGCAACAUGUUGUGUAAUGGUUACCGCUUGUAGGGAAAUGCACACAAUGAAACCUACUGUGAGUAACAAAGCACAACCAGAAGGCUCGAUAGCUAAUGCACGCAUAAUGGAAGAAUGUCUUUCCUUUAUAUCUAGAUAUCUAAAUGGGAUUGAGACCAAGUUCAAUCGCAUGAGUAGAAAUGACAUGGAUAGACAAGAAUCUCUGUUGUUUAAGUUAUCAGUUUUCCAAAAGAAGGGGAAUCCACUAGGCAAAAGAACAUUUAAGCAAUUGAGCUUUUUGGAUUGGAAGCAAGCUCAAUUGUAUGUUCUGAUGAAUUGUCAAGAAGUACAACCAUUUAUAGGAGAGUACACCACUAUACAUGGGCCAAAACCAAGUCUAGUUGAUUGGUUUCGAUCUCAGAUUUGGAAGCUUUACACGGAGGGGGAUCCAAGAGUAACAACUGAGUUACUAUCAUUGUCACCCGAGUAAGAGUGUGAAAAGCUAUCAAGGAUACUAUGUAAAUGGGUAUCGCUUUCACACUAAGAAGCGUCAAAGAAGGCGAAAGACGCAAAAUAGUGGAGUAAUUGUUAAAGGAGAUGCAGAGAGUGGAGAAAAGGACUUCUUCGGGGUUUUGAAAGAAGUCAUAGAACUUGAAUAUGAUGCACCAAAUAGUGGGGAUACAGAACCUAUUGUGGUGUUAUUUCGAUGUGUUUGGUUUGAUGUUUAUCGGCGAGGGAUAAAAAGAGAUAAGUUUGGCGGCGUAAGUCUCAAUUUCAAAAAGUUCUUAGGGACCAAUGAGCCAUUUGCUAUGGCAUCUCAAGUAGGGCAAGUUUAUUAUGUUAGGGCACAUAAUGAGCCAGAUUGGAGAAUUGUUAUUAAGACUGUCCCUCGUAAUUUCUACAAUUUCCCUAUUGUUGAGGUAGAUGGCACUGAUGAUGAUCAUGAUGACGUUGGAUUGGACUUUGAAGUACCAAAUUCAGUGGAAGGUGAUGAAGAUGAUGGUGAUGUUCUCUUACCAAGAAAUGAUGUUCCUCCAGAGUUGGUGAAUGCAAGUGAUUUUGAGUUGGAAAAUGAGGUUGUGAAUGAAGAGGAAGAAGAAGAAGAUAGUGAGCAAGAUGAGCAAAGUGAGCUAGACGAUGAAGAAGAAGAAGAA